GACGAACGCUGGCGGCGUGCUUAACACAUGCAAGUCGAACGGAAAGGCCCUGCUUUUGUGGGGUGCUCGAGUGGCGAACGUGUGAGUAACACGUGAGUAACCUGCCCUUGACUUUGGUAUAACUUCAGGAAACUGGGGCUAAUACCGGAUAGGAGCUCCUGCUGCAUGGUGGGGGUUGGAAAGUUUCGGCUGUUGGAGAUGGACUCGCGUCUUAUCAGCUUGUUGGUGGGGUAGUGGCUUACCAAGGCUUUGACGGGUAGCCGGCCUGAGAGGGUGACCGGCCACAUUGGGACUGAGAUACGGCCCAGACUCCUACGGGAGGCAGAAGUGGGGAAUAUUGCACAAUGGGCGGAAGCCUGAUGCAGCAAAGCCGCGUGCGGGAUGACGGCCUUCGGGUUGUAAACAGCGUUCGCCUGUGACGAAGCGUGAGUGACGGUAAUGGGUAAAGAAGCACCGGCUAAAUACGUG
rnacentral:rRNA from 1 species